GUACGUAAAAAAAAAGUUCGAAAAAAAAAUUUUGAAAAAAAAAUCGAAAGAAAAAAAAAGAAGAAGAAAAAAAUUGCAUACGGUUUAGGUGCGGACGAAAAGAACGUGAAAAAUCCGUAAAAAAAAGAAAAAAAAGAGUCUGGAGACACUUCAAUAGAAAUUUUUCCAAAAUCACAUUCUACACUCUUUUAUAUCCCUUUUAGUGAAAUUUCACGCUACUAAAAAAAAUUCGAUAUAUAAAAAAAAAAGUGUUUCGAGUUUGUAAGUUUGCCAUUCUCUUCUAUUCAUCUUCUAAGCCACACUUAGCCUAAUGCCUUUCUUGUUUCUUUUAGGCUACCCGUAACCUAACAUCAAAUCUUUGUAAAGCCAUUUGAAGCCG
rnacentral:lncRNA from 1 species